rnacentral:rRNA from 1 species
GAUGAACGCUAGCGGCAGGCUUAACACAUGCAAGUCGAGGGGUAGUAUUGGAGCUUGCUCUAAUAUGAGACCGGCGCACGGGUGCGUAACGCGUAUAGAACCUACCUUAAUCAAAGGGAUAGCCCAGAGAAAUUUGGAUUAAUACCUUAUGUGAUUAUUGAGUGGCAUCACUUAAUAAUUAAAGAUUUAUCGGAUUAAGAUGGCUAUGCGUCCCAUUAGCUAGUUGGUAUGGUAACGGCAUACCAAGGCGAUGAUGGGUAGGGGUCCUGAGAGGGAGAUCCCCCACACUGGUACUGAGACACGGACCAGACUCCUACGGGAGGCAGCAGUGAGGAAUAUUGGUCAAUGGAGGCAACUCUGAACCAGCCAUGCCGCGUGCAGGAAGAAGGUCUUAUGGAUUGUAAACUGCUUUUAUACAGGAAGAAACCUACCCUUGCGAGGGUAAUUGACGGUACUGUAAGAAUAAGGACCGGCUAACUCCGUGCCAGCAGCCGCGGUAAUACGGAGGGUCCGAGCGUUAUCCGGAAUCAUUGGGUUUAAAGGGUUCGUAGGCGGUUGAAUAAGUCAGUGGUGAAAGUUUUCGGCUCAACCGGAAAAAUGCCAUUGAUACUGUUUAACUUGAAUUAGUGUGAAGUAAUUAGAAUAAGUAGUGUAGCGGUGAAAUGCAUAGAUAUUACUUAGAAUACCGAUUGCGAAGGCAGAUUACUAACACUAAAUUGACGCUGAUGGACGAAAGCGUGGGGAGCGAACAGG